UGCCCUGUCAAACGUCUUGACGAUGGGAUAUCCAUCCUUCGGAGAUGUGCCCUUGGAAUUUCUAGACAAUUGGGGCCAUUGUAGCACUUCUGAUGCAUGCUUAUCUUGUGUUUUAGAUAAAAUGUCUUCUUUCAUCACAUGUAAAGGCAUCUGGGCCACCGCGAUGGCAGUCUAGUGGCAAUGAGCUAAGGUCCCCUCCCUCUCCUC
rnacentral:lncRNA from 1 species